UGAAAGCUUUGCUCGAUGAAAAUGAGGUUGGGGCUGAAACGGUAAAGUGUUGGAAAAUUUAUGUAUGGAGAGUGUAGUGUGUACUUAGUUAUUGUAAAACUGACUGUGUUACUCAUUGGUUAGUGAAAACGUGUGAAAAUAACUGAGAACGCGCGAUGAUAAUGAAGAAUGAGAGAGCAAUGGUUAACGUAAAAUUUGACGGUGCAACCCGCAUUAAAUAAAUUAUUAUGUCCAGCCAUCGAAAGAAUACUAAGAACAAAACAUGAUAUCGACAGGAUAGCACAGAAGUAAGUUAAAGAACUAUAAAUAUCUAGAGACGCAGACAGAGAGAACAAAUCCAAACUUAUUCAAUUCAUGCCAGAUUUCAUGAUAACCAUGUAAAACAACUCUUUUUAUCUUGGAAAUCUUGUGUCGCAUGUCGUUCACCUUACCCCUUAUCAGAAGUAAACACAAAGAGAGACACUAAUGUAUGUAAAUUGAAACUGAAAAUAGGUUCAGUAACGAUCCAGGAAUCACUGAAGGCCGGAGGGUGUUAAGGUAUAUUGGAAUCCUUAAUGCUCAAUUUAGCAUGACGAAUAGACUUCGCGGAAAAUUUACUACGAAUAUUGUGGGAACGAUGUUUGCCCAUUUGAUGGCGGUUUUACGAUCUCUGGGAGGCGGCUUGUUGAUCUUGUGAUGUGUAACGCAAAGGACCAAGUCAGGACCGAAUUUGAAGUAAUAUUUUUUGCUACCACACUGCAGGUAGUAGGAUCCGUUAUAUAGAGUAAUAUUUUAAAACAUUACAACCACAAAAUUUAAUAGGUGAUUGACAUGACCGAAUUUUACAUAGAAAUAUCUUAUUGACGUCAAAAAAUUACUUUAAAAUGUCCUUUCAAAUUUCAAAUAAAGGAGUAACGCGAAUCAAAGCAAUAUCUAGAAAAUAAUUUCAUUUUUAAUCGUGAUAGGGCAAAUUAAACUAAGAAAGAAUUUGCUGAAACUAAUAUUGAUUCUGUGAUACAAUAUCACAGAAUCAAUAUUAGUUCCAGAGAUACAAAAGUUAGUGAACCUAUAAAUCUAGACGUAACAAUUUCUUUUACUGUCCAGCUGUCAAGUGGAGAUCGUAACAAUAACAAUCAACUUUAUCUGCUGGGGACGAAAUAGAACCAUUUAAUGUGUGGCCACAUUACUGCUUUAUGGACCAUCUCGACUUGCACUGUAAAUGGAAGAGUUUCAUCCAACUUCAAUAAAUUUUGUCUAUUCGAUCUUUUACGGGGUUGAUGUGAUAGCUACCUAGUGUAUUGAACUGAAGUGGUACUCAUCGGUUGAGGAAGAGGCAAAGAUCGACUCGAACUAUCAAAUCGAUAUAUUUCCUAGUUUUUUUUUCAUAUUACUUAGCUGACAAAGUAUUAAGUUGUUUCGUAAGAAAGUACCUGAAGUAUGAUAUUUAUGCAAGCAAAUCAUGUGCGGUUUGUAACAAUUUAUGGAAAGUAUUUGCAUCAAUUAUAAGCCGCAAGUCAACACACUGGAUAGCCAUAGCAAUAGGGCUCGUCAAUCGGUCAGUAAUGGCCCAGUUUUCGACACAAUCGAACUCGAGACAAUUGCCCUCUCGGGGACCUAGGUACUUGUAUGACUUUAGUUUUACAUCUUACUGCAUCCAAAGAUGUUUUUGUUUUAAUUGAGUAUCAAUGGUAUUUUAGAUCGGGACUAACAAUUAAAUGUACUUCCUAAAAAUAAGAGUAACUAAGAUU